rnacentral:rRNA from 1 species
GGACGAACGCUGGCGGCGUGCUUAACACAUGCAAGUCGAACGGAAAGGCCCUGCUUUUGUGGGGUGCUCGAGUGGCGAACGGGUGAGUAACACGUGAGUAACCUGCCCUUGACUUUGGGAUAACUUCAGGAAACUGGGGCUAAUACCGGAUAGGAGCUCCUGCUGCAUGGUGGGGGUUGGAAAGUUUCGGCGGUUGGGGAUGGACUCGCGGCUUAUCAGCUUGUUGGUGGGGUAGUGGCUUACCAAGGCUUUGACGGGUAGCCGGCCUGCGAGGGUGACCGGCCACAUUGGGACUGAGAUACGGACCAGACUCCUACGGGAGGCAGCAGUGGGGAAUAUUGCACAAUGGGCGGAAGCCUGAUGCAGCAACGCCGCGUGCGGGAUGACGGCCUUCGGGUUAUAAACCGCUUUCGCCUGUGACGAAGCGUGAGUGACGGUAAUGGGUAAAGAAGCACCGGCUAACUACGUG